rnacentral:rRNA from 1 species
GACGAACGCUGGCGGCGUGCCUAAUACAUGCAAGUAGGACGCAGUUGCGAACGGGUGAGUAACGCGUCGGUAACUGCCUAUUAGAGGGGGAUAACUAUUGGAAACGAUAGCUAAUACCGCAUACUAGUAGAUGGACCUGCGUUGUAUUAGCUAGUAGGUAGGGGAAUGGCCUACCUAGGCAACGAUCCAUAGCCGAGCUGGUGAGUGGACUGGGCAAACUGGGAAUUAGACCCGGCCCCGACUCCUACCGGGAGGCACAGUAGGGAAUUUUCGGAAAUGGGGGGAAACCUGACCGAACAACUGCGCGUGAGUGGAGAAGGUUUUCGGAUCGUAAAGCUCUUUUGUGAAGGAAGCGGUACUUAACCAGAAAGGGACGGCUAACUACGUGCCAGCAGCCGCGGUAAUAC